rnacentral:pre_miRNA from 1 species
AAGCCACCUUCUGGGCCCCCAGCACCACAGGUCUGGGUCACGUGAGCAGGGUCACGUGUGCCUGACGGGGCUGGGGCCUCAGGGCUUUGCUGGC